UGGAGUCAUGGCUGAGCUGGGUUUUUCUUGCCGCUAUUUUAAAAGGUGUCCAGUGUGAGGUGCAGCUGGUGGAGUCUGGGGGAGGCUUGGUCCAGCCUGGGGGGUCCCUGAGACUCUCCUGUGCAGCCUCAGGAUUCUCCUUUAGUAGCUAUGGCAUGAGCUGGGUCCGCCAGGCUCCAGGGAAGGGGCUGGACUGAGUGGCACAUAUCUGGAAUGAUGGAAGUCAGAAAUACUAUGCAGACUCUGUGAAGGGCCGAUUCACAAUCUCCAGAGACAAUUCUAAGAGCAUGCUCUAUCUGCAAAUGGACAGUCUGAAAGCUAAGGACACGGCCAUGUAUUACUGUACCA
rnacentral:lncRNA from 1 species